rnacentral:rRNA from 1 species
UACGAAGGGGGCUAGCGUUGCUCGGAAUCACUGGGCGUAAAGGGUGCGUAGGCGGGUCUUUAAGUCAGGGGUGAAAUCCUGGAGCUCAACUCCAGAACUGCCUUUGAUACUGAGGAUCUUGAGUUCGGGAGAGGUGAGUGGAACUGCGAGUGUAGAGGUGAAAUUCGUAGAUAUUCGCAAGAACACCAGUGGCGAAGGCGGCUCACUGGCCCGAUACUGACGCUGAGGCACGGAAGCGUGGGGAGCAAACAGGG